AUGAAGUGAUGAGAUGAAAUCCACAUCCAAGCUGUAAGAAUACACAGCUUAGGAUGCCAUGUGAUUCAGGUGGGAGAUUCAAAGAAUGGAUGGCAGCACUGGUCCAACUGCUCAAGAGCAAGAAAAUGAUCUCAUCUGGGUAAUAAAGAAAAACUGCAAGAGUAUGGAGCGUAUAUGCCCAAUGCUCCCUUAAUGCUAACAUUGGAACUAACCAUAAUCUAGUCCUCAGAGUGGACCCAGACAGCAACUUGAACUAAAUCCAGCAACCAAAAGGAAGGAGCUUAGCAUGGCUGUCCUCUGAGAGGCUCUACCAACAGCUGACUGAGACAGAUGCAAAUACAGCCAAGCAUUGGAUGGAGGUCAGGGACCUGUAUGGAAGAGAUGGGGGAAGGACUGAAGGAGCUGAAGGUAAUGGUGGCCCCAUGGGAAGACCAACAGUGUCAACUAAUCUGGACCCCUGGAAGCUCCCAGAGAAUAAGCCACCAACAAAAGAGCAUGCAAGGUCUGGUUUGUUGCCCCCUGCUGCACAUAUAGCAGAGAACUUCCUUGUCUAGCGUCAGGGGGAGAGGAUGCCCCUAUUCCUUUUAGGUACUUGAUGCCCCUGGGUGUGGAGAUAACCAGGAAGGGGCACCUUCUCAGAGGCAAAGAAGAGGGGUCAUGGGGAAAAGAAGUCUGUGAGGGGGGACAGGAAGGGUACAACAUUUGGGAUGUUAAUAAAAUAAUUUUUAAAAAAGAGAAA